rnacentral:lncRNA from 13 species
AAUAUGUGCUGGACACUGUAUGAUGGCUCAGUAGUCUCCAGGUGUCCCUCUCUCUCCAAUAUGUGCUGGACACUGUAUGAUGGCUCAGUAGUCUCCAGGUGUCCCUCUCUCUCCAAUAUGUGCUGGACACUGUUUGAUGGUUCAGUGGUCUCCAUGCCAGUCCCUUUCGCCCUAAUAUGUGCUGGAUACUGUUUGAUGGCUCAGUAGUCUCCAUGCCAGUCCCUCUCUCUCUAAUAUGUGCUGGACACUGUUUGAUGCUUCAGUGGUCUCCAUGCCAGUCCCUCUCUCCCUAAUAUGUGCUGGCUACUGUUUAAUGGCUCAGUAGUCUCCAUGCCAGUCCCUCUCUCCCUAAUAUGUGCUGGACACUGUUUGAUGGUUCAGUGGUCUCCAUGCCUGCCUGUUCCUAUUCUCCUAUCCUCCUGACACUCACUUCCCUUGUUCUUUUACAGAGUCCAGCUGAAAAAGAGAGAAAGAACGAGAGGGAGAAAGGGAGAUAAAAAGAGCGCACGAGAGUAAAGAGAGAGAGAAAGAAGUGGGGAUGGAGGGAAAUCUGUAAGCAAACCAUCUGUCUCAUUCCUCCAUUCCCCUCCUCUCUCUCCCCCCCAACUACUACCUCAUUUUACAUUAUAAUUGGAAACAGCUACCUCUCUCCUCCCCCACAUCUCCUCCCCCACAUCCCUUUCUUCUUCCUCUCAUUUUUCCUUCUCUUUCUCACUCCCACCUCUUCCCAUAGUUCUCCAAUGGGUAUUAUAUAGUCCCCCUAAGACACUUGGGAGCUACACAUCAGGACUAUAUCUCUCCAUACAAUACACUAUUUAACUGGUAUGUCCCUCACUCUCUCUCCUCUCAUAGUUCUCCAACAGAUAUUUCCUCUGAGACAAACGGAUGUGCUUCCCAUGCAGUACUCUCCACAGUGCACUGUGUUGUAAUAUCUCUCUCCCCCUCUAAACACACCGGUUGAAAGGGUUAAAGUGUGGUGAAUGUGAAACAGCAGGCUGGUCCAUAUGCACGCUGAGGUCCCUCUACAGGGAAUGCUCUCUCUCUCUAUAUCUCCCUCUCUCUCCCUCUCACACA